UACGUAGGGGGCAAGCGUUGUCCGGAUUCAUUGGGCGUAAAGAGCGUGUAGGCGGCCUGAAAGGUCAGCUGUGAAAACUCGAGGCUCAACCUCGAGACGUCGGUUGAAACCAUCUGGCUAGAGUCCGGAAGAGGAGUGUGGAAUUCCCGGUGUAGCGGUGAAAUGCAUAGAUAUGUCACAGAACACCAAUUGCGAAGGCAGCUUACUAUGGUUAUAUUGACACUGAGGCACGAAAGCGUGGGGAUCAAACAGG
rnacentral:rRNA from 1 species